rnacentral:rRNA from 1 species
UGUAAGCGUAUACCAAAGUUGUUGCAGUUAAAACGCUCGUAGUCGGAAUUUGGCAGUUCCGGAUGUGUGCACGUCGUGUGCGCACUUCGCGGGGAUUGCUUUUGUGGUCUUGCGUAGGAUGAGGCACUUUUAUUAGUGAACGUCCUCACGCAACCACUUUUUACUGUGAGAAAAUCAGAGUGCUCAAAGCAGGCAUUUGCCGUGAAUGUAUUAGCAUGGAAUAAUAGAAUAGGACUUGGUUCUAUUUUGUUGGUUUGUUGGGACUGAGUAAUGAUUAAGAGGGACAGUUGGGGGCAUUUGUAUUUCGGUGCUAGAUGUGAAAUUCUUAGAUUACCGAAAGACAAACUGCUGCGAAAGCGUCUGCCAAGGAUGUUUUCAUUGA